rnacentral:rRNA from 1 species
GGUGUAGGCGGCUUGGCAAGUCGGAUGUGAAAUCCCAGGGCCCAACCCUGGAACUGCAUUCGAAACUGCCUCGCUAGAGUCCCGGAGAGGGUGGCGGAAUUCCCGGUGUAAGGGUGAAAUCCGUAGAUAUCGGGAGGAACACCAGUGGCGAAGGCGGCCACCUGGACGGUGACUGACGCUCAGACCCGAAAGCGUGGGGAGCAAACAGGAUUAGAUACCCUGGUAGUCC